rnacentral:rRNA from 1 species
ACUAGUAGAGUGGCGCACGGGUGAGUAACGCGUAAGUUAUCUACCCUCCCAUCUGGAAUAACUCACCGAAAGGUGUGCUAAUACCGGAUACGUUGGAAACAAGAAAGGUGGCCUCUAUUUAUAAGCUACCGUGGGGGGAUGAGCUUGCGUACCAUUAGCUAGUUGGUAGGGUAAUGGCCUACCAAGGCAACGAUGGUUAGCGGGUCUGAGAGGAUGAUCCGCCACACUGGAACUGGAACACGGACCAGACUCCUACGGGAGGCAGCAGUGAGGAAUAUUGCGCAAUGGGGGAAACCCUGACGCAGCGACGCCGCGUGGAUGAUGAAGGCCCUUGGGUCGUAAAAUCCUGUCAGAUGGAAAGAAAUGCUAUUAUGCUAAUAUCAUAGUAGUUUGACGGUACCAUCAAAGGAAGCACCGGCUAACUCCGUGCCAGCAGCCGCGGUAAUACGGAGGGUGCAAGCGUUGUUCGGAAUUACUGGGCGUAAAGCGCGCGUAGGUGGCUUUUUAAGUCAGAUGUGAAAGUCCACGGCUCAACCGUGGAAGUGCAUUUGAAACUGGAAAGCUUGAGUAUUGGAGGGGGUAGUGGAAUUCCCGGUGUAGAGGUGAAAUUCGUAGAUAUCGGGAGGAAUACCAGUGGCGAAGGCGACUACCUGGGCCAAAUACUGACACUGAGGUGCGAAAGCGUGGGGGAGCAAACAGGAUUAGAUACCCUGGUAGUCCACGCCGUAAACGAUGUCAACUAGGUGUUGGGGAGGUUAAUCUUCUCAUUGCCGCAGCUAACGCAUUAAGUUGACCGCCUGGGGAGUAC